rnacentral:tRNA from 1 species
AAUGAAUUGCCUGAUAAAAAGGAUUACCUUGAUAGGGUAAAUAAUGUAAUAUCCAUUACAUUCAUUA